GAGAAAGCUUUCUGUCUGCAUUUCCAUUCAUCUUUAUAAACCUGCAUGUACCCCCUGAAAGUAUGCAGAUUUCAUGUCACUCACUAAGCAUGAGAAGACCCUGCUAGAUGAAACCAUUCUCUUCUUUCUCACUCUCCGCGACACAAGAUGGAUGUACCAGCAGAUAAAACGGCUCACAUGUCAACUUAUGGACUCCAGCCACAAGAGGAACAGGAGCCAAAGCUCAGCACGGUGUGAGAAGGUCGCCCUCAGGCAAGCGUGAGACUGGCCUUGGUAAUUGGCACCAGUGAAUGAGAGGGUCCUGCCACGACUCUGAAACCCAGAGCAAGUGGUGAAAGUGUACUAAGAAGAAAAUCUAAGAUCUGUGAUUGAAUGCAAGGAGUCUCACGGGCCAUAUCAACAAAUGUGACGUCAUUAUGUCAAUCACCUGGUAGCCCCACCCACUUCAAACUCAUAGUCCUGCUCCUCAUUCAUUUUGAACA